UACGAAGGGGGCUAGCGUUGCUCGGAAUUACUGGGCGUAAAGGGCGCGUAGGCGGCACUGUUAGUCAGGCGUGAAAGUCCUGGGCUCAACCUGGGAACUGCGCUUGAUACGGCAGAGCUAGAGGAUGGAAGAGGCUCGCGGAAUUCCCAGUGUAGAGGUGAAAUUCGUAGAUAUUGGGAAGAACACCGGUGGCGAAGGCGGCCAGCUGGCGCUGACCUGACGCUGAGGCGCGAAGGCAUGGGGAGCGAACGGGG
rnacentral:rRNA from 1 species